GGUUUGACUUGGUCAACUGGUUGGGUCAUAAGUCAUCACAUAUUUACAUCACCUACUUUGAGACAUAGUGUAAACGUAUUCCUCGUGCUCAAUUGACCGUUCGCAAUGCAUGGAUUCAUGGACAUAUAUAUUUGCGUAGAUUUCUCCUUGCUGUUACCCAUAUUUACCAAUCAUGUAGCCCUACAGUGAUACUCCAAGCUUCCAUAAACGCUUCCAAAACCUCGCUAAUCUUGGCGGCAUUGGCGGAUGAAGCUUUUGGAGGCAACUUAAUGGUUGCGCGGUUGCGUUGUUGGUAAGUUUGAGGUUAAUUAGGAGUUGCUUUCCUGUUACUGGUUAUCUUGCUGGUGAGAUGUUUUACAGGGCGAUCUGAAAGCGGGAGAAAGGGUUCAAUGGCAACGAUACCGGAGGAAUUUGAUCGGAAUUUGAGAUGCUGUUACGGUAGUAGUCGUCGUUAUUCUUGGAGGGUUGUCACUGGUAGUGACUCUUAUUUCUUGCCUAUUCGAUGAAGGGAAUGAUGAGUGAUAAAGCAAUGGCGAGGAGACACGCCUGCGAGUAUAACUAUUUGUGCGUAAUAGGGAAGCACUUGAUGAGCCAGCCAAUAGGCCAAGAUGCAGCUGCUAGUCCAAUACAGACUCCCCACUGCCCCCAAUUCAGCCUCUCUGUAUCAGCAAACUUUUUCAGAAACUCAACCAUCACUACCUGAAGAACUACAGUUAUACCAAUAAUCCCCACAAACAACUUGUUCUUGUGUAUCCCCUGGAAGACAUUCCUCUUCUCCAGCUCACGCGCAUUGAACUCGUUGAACACUUGGCACAAAACAAAAGUGUUGAAGAUCAAAGUGUCAUUUACUUUUGAGCUCACCCUGAAAAUUGACUCACCUCUAAACUGUAAGGUGGCUUCUUCAUGAGCUCCUUUGUCGGUUUCUCUGUCGCAAGUGCUAAUGCUCCUAGAGUAUCCAUAAUCAGAUUGACCCAUAGUAGCUGAA